UACGAAGGGGGCUAGCGUUGCUCGGAAUCACUGGGCGUAAAGGGUGCGUAGGCGGGUUUUUAAGUCAGAGGUGAAAUCCUGGAGCUCAACUCCAGAACUGCCUUUGAUACUGAAAGUCUUGAGUAUGGGAGAGGUGAGUGGAACUGCGAGUGUAGAGGUGAGAUUCGUAGAUAUUCGCAAGAACACCAGUGGCGAAGGCGGCUCACUGGCCCGGUACUGACGCUGAGGUGCGAAAGCGUGGGGAGCAAACAGG
rnacentral:rRNA from 1 species